GAGGAAAAGGAAACCAACCGGGAUUGCCUCAGUAACGGCGAGUGAAGCGGCAAAAGCUCAAAUUUGAAAUCUGCGUAAGCCGAGUUGUAAUUUGAAGAUGGCUACUUUGGUAAUGGCUCUUGUCUAUGUUCCUUGGAACAGGACGUCACAGAGGGUGAGAAUCCCGUGCGAUGAGAUGUCCAUUACCGUGUAAAGUGCUUUCGAAGAGUCGAGUUGUUUGGGAAUGCAGCUCUAAGUGGGUGGUAAAUUCCAUCUAAAGCUAAAUAUUGGCGAGAGACCGAUAGCGAACAAGUACAGUGAUGGAAAGAUGAAAAGAACUUUGAAAAGAGAGUGAAAAAGUACGUGAAAUUGUUGAAAGGGAAGGGCUUGAGAUCAGACUUGGUAUUUUGUAUGGCUUGCUUUCGGGCGGGUCCUCUGCAGUUUACUGGGCCAGCAUCGGUUUGGGUGGCAGGAUAAUAGCAUAGGAAUGUGGCUCUACUUCGGUGGAGUGUUAUAGCCUUUGUUGAUACUGCCUGCCUAGACCCGAGGACUGCGUCUUUG
rnacentral:rRNA from 1 species